rnacentral:rRNA from 1 species
UAACCUGCCCAAGAGAUCGGGAUAACACCUGGAAACAGAUGCUAAUACCGGAUAACAACAGAUGAUGCCUAUCAACUGUUUAAAAGAUGGUUCUGCUAUCACUCUUGGAUGGACCUGCGGUGCAUUAGCUAGUUGGUAGGGUAACGGCCUACCAAGGCGAUGAUGCAUAGCCGAGUUGAGAGACUGAUCGGCCACAUUGGGACUGAGACACGGCCCAAACUCCUACGGGAGGCAGCAGGAA